CAGCAGCCACGGUAAUACAGAGGGUGCGAGCGUUAAUCGGAUUUACUGGGCGUAAAGCGUGCGUAGGCGGCUUCUUAAGUCGGAUGUGAAAUCCCUGAGCUUAACUUAGGAAUUGCAUUCGAUACUGGGAAGCUAGAGUAUAGGAGAGGAUGGUAGAAUUCCAGGUGUAGCGGUGAAAUGCGUAGAGAUCUGGAGGAAUACCGAUGGCGAAGGCAGCCAUCUGGCCUAAUACUGACGCUGAGGUACGAAAGCAUGGGGAGCAAACAGGAUUAGAUACCCGCGUAGUCCCUGUCUCUUAUAC
rnacentral:rRNA from 1 species